rnacentral:rRNA from 1 species
UGGGGAAUAUUGGACAAUGGGCGCAAGCCUGAUCCAGCCAUGCCGCGUGAGUGAUGAAGGCCUUAGGGUUGUAAAGCUCUUUUAGCGGGGAAGAUAAUGACGGUACCCGCAGAAAAAGCCCCGGCUAACUUCGUGCCAGCAGCCGCGGUAAUACGAAGGGGGCUAGCGUUGCUCGGAAUUACUGGGCGUAAAGCGCACGUAGGCGGACUCUUAAGUCGGUGGUGAAAUCCUGGAGCUCAACUCCAGAACUGCCUUCGAUACUGGGAGUCUUGAGUUCGGGAGAGGUGAGUGGAACUGCGAGUGUAGAGGUGAAAUUCGUAGAUAUUCGCAAGAACACCAGUGGCGAAGGCGGCUCACUGGCCCGUUACUGACGCUGAGGUGCGAAAGCGUGGGGAGCAAACA